rnacentral:rRNA from 1 species
AACAAACGCUGGCGGCGUGCCUAAUACAUGCAAGUCGAACGGGGAAAGCUUUCGGGUGAGUACUAGUGGCGCACGGGUGAGUAACGCGUGGAUAAUCUGCCUUAGAGUGGGGGAUAACUAGUCGAAAGAUUAGCUAAUACCGCAUAAGACCACAAGAACUGCGGUUCAAGGGGUCAAAGGUUUUUCGCUCUAAGAUGAGUCCGCGUAAGAUUAGCUAGUUGGUAGGGUAACGGCCUACCAAGGCGACGAUCUUUAACUGGUCUGAGAGGAUGAUCAGUCACACUGGAACUGAGACACGGUCCAGACUCCUACGGGAGGCAGCAGUAGGGAAUAUUGCACAAUGGAGGAAACUCUGAUGCAGCGACGCCGCGUGAGUGAUGAAGGCCUUCGGGUCGUAAAGCUCUGUCGCAGGGGAAUAACACAAUGAAGGUACCCUGUAAGAAAGGAUCGGCUAACCUCGUGCCAGCCGCCGCUGUAAGAC